UUAAGCGACUAAGCGUACACGGUGGAUGCCCUGGCAGUCAGAGGCGAUGAAGGACGUGCUAAUCUGCGAUAAGCGUCGGUAAGGUGAUAUGAACCGUUAUAACCGGCGAUUUCCGAAUGGGGAAACCCAGUGUGAUUCGUCACACUAUCAUUAACUGAAUCCAUAGGUUAAUGAGGCGAACCGGGGGAACUGAAACAUCUAAGUACCCCGAGGAAAAGAAAUCAACCGAGAUUCCCCCAGUAGCGGCGAGCGAACGGGGAGCAGCCCAGAGCCUGAAUCAGUGUGUGUGUUAGUGGAAGCGUCUGGAAAGGCGCGCGAUACAGGGUGACAGCCCCGUACACAAAAAUGCACAUGCUGUGAGCUCGAUGAGUAGGGCGGGACACGUGGUAUCCUGUCUGAAUAUGGGGGGACCAUCCUCCAAGGCUAAAUACUCCUGACUGACCGAUAGUGAACCAGUACCGUGAGGGAAAGGCGAAAAGAACCCCGGCGAGGGGAGUGAAAAAGAACCUGAAACCGUGUACGUACAAGCAGUGGGAGCACGCUUAGGCGUGUGACUGCGUACCUUUUGUAUAAUGGGUCAGCGACUUAUAUUCUGUAGCAAGGUUAACCGAAUAGGGGAGCCGAAGGGAAACCGAGUCUUAACUGGGCGUUAAGUUGCAGGGUAUAGACCCGAAACCCGGUGAUCUAGCCAUGGGCAGGUUGAAGGUUGGGUAACACUAACUGGAGGACCGAACCGACUAAUGUUGAAAAAUUAGCGGAUGACUUGUGGCUGGGGGGGAAAGGCCAAUCAAACCGGGAGAUAGCUGGUUCUCCCCGAAAGCUAUUUAGGUAGCGCCUCGUGAAUUCAUCUCCGGGGGUAGAGCACUGUUUCGGCAAGGGGGUCAUCCCGACUUACCAACCCGAUGCAAACUGCGAAUACCGGAGAAUGUUAUCACGGGAGACACACGGCGGGUGCUAACGUCCGUCGUGAAGAGGGAAACAACCCAGACCGCCAGCUAAGGUCCCAAAGUCAUGGUUAAGUGGGAAACGAUGUGGGAAGGCCCAGACAGCCAGGAUGUUGGCUUAGAAGCAGCCAUCAUUUAAAGAAAGCGUAAUAGCUCACUGGUCGAGUCGGCCUGCGCGGAAGAUGUAACGGGGCUAAACCAUGCACCGAAGCUGCGGCAGCGACGCUUAUGCGUUGUUGGGUAGGGGAGCGUUCUGUAAGCCUGUGAAGGUGUACUGUGAGGUAUGCUGGAGGUAUCAGAAGUGCGAAUGCUGACAUAAGUAACGAUAAAGCGGGUGAAAAGCCCGCUCGCCGGAAGACCAAGGGUUCCUGUCCAACGUUAAUCGGGGCAGGGUGAGUCGACCCCUAAGGCGAGGCCGAAAGGCGUAGUCGAUGGGAAACAGGUUAAUAUUCCUGUACUUGGUGUUACUGCGAAGGGGGGACGGAGAAGGCUAUGUUGGCCGGGCGACGGUUGUCCCGGUUUAAGCGUGUAGGCUGGUUUUCCAGGCAAAUCCGGAAAAUCAAGGCUGAGGCGUGAUGACGAGGCACUACGGUGCUGAAGCAACAAAUGCCCUGCUUCCAGGAAAAGCCUCUAAGCAUCAGGUAACAUCAAAUCGUACCCCAAACCGACACAGGUGGUCAGGUAGAGAAUACCAAGGCGCUUGAGAGAACUCGGGUGAAGGAACUAGGCAAAAUGGUGCCGUAACUUCGGGAGAAGGCACGCUGAUAUGUAGGUGAAGUCCCUCGCGGAUGGAGCUGAAAUCAGUCGAAGAUACCAGCUGGCUGCAACUGUUUAUUAAAAACACAGCACUGUGCAAACACGAAAGUGGACGUAUACGGUGUGACGCCUGCCCGGUGCCGGAAGGUUAAUUGAUGGGGUUAGCGCAAGCGAAGCUCUUGAUCGAAGCCCCGGUAAACGGCGGCCGUAACUAUAACGGUCCUAAGGUAGCGAAAUUCCUUGUCGGGUAAGUUCCGACCUGCACGAAUGGCGUAAUGAUGGCCAGGCUGUCUCCACCCGAGACUCAGUGAAAUUGAACUCGCUGUGAAGAUGCAGUGUACCCGCGGCAAGACGGAAAGACCCCGUGAACCUUUACUAUAGCUUGACACUGAACAUUGAGCCUUGAUGUGUAGGAUAGGUGGGAGGCUUUGAAGUGUGGACGCCAGUCUGCAUGGAGCCGACCUUGAAAUACCACCCUUUAAUGUUUGAUGUUCUAACGUUGACCCGUAAUCCGGGUUGCGGACAGUGUCUGGUGGGUAGUUUGACUGGGGCGGUCUCCUCCUAAAGAGUAACGGAGGAGCACGAAGGUUGGCUAAUCCUGGUCGGACAUCAGGAGGUUAGUGCAAUGGCAUAAGCCAGCUUGACUGCGAGCGUGACGGCGCGAGCAGGUGCGAAAGCAGGUCAUAGUGAUCCGGUGGUUCUGAAUGGAAGGGCCAUCGCUCAACGGAUAAAAGGUACUCCGGGGAUAACAGGCUGAUACCGCCCAAGAGUUCAUAUCGACGGCGGUGUUUGGCACCUCGAUGUCGGCUCAUCACAUCCUGGGGCUGAAGUAGGUCCCAAGGGUAUGGCUGUUCGCCAUUUAAAGUGGUACGCGAGCUGGGUUUAGAACGUCGUGAGACAGUUCGGUCCCUAUCUGCCGUGGGCGCUGGAGAAUUGAGGGGGGCUGCUCCUAGUACGAGAGGACCGGAGUGGACGCAUCACUGGUGUUCGGGUUGUCAUGCCAAUGGCACUGCCCGGUAGCUAAAUGCGGAAGAGAUAAGUGCUGAAAGCAUCUAAGCACGAAACUUGCCCCGAGAUGAGUUCUCCCUGACUCCUUGAGAGUCCUGAAGGAACGUUGAAGACGACGACGUUGAUAGGCCGGGUGUGUAAGCGCAGCGAUGCGUUGAGCUAACCGGUACUAAUGAACCGUGAGGCUUAACCUU
rnacentral:rRNA from 1 species